rnacentral:tRNA from 1 species
UCGGGUAUGGUGUAGCGGUAACAUCAGUGACUCUCACUCGCUAGCCUGGGGUUCGACUCUCCAUAUCUGAG